rnacentral:tRNA from 3 species
CCUCCUUUCUAAGGAAACCAAUAAAAUCAAUCAUCUUCAGUUUUGAAAGACUUAGGCAACUAAGUUUUUCUUCGUGACUUCACGAAGGGCCUAUAGCUCAGUUGGUUAGAGCACACGCCUGAUAAGCGUGAGGUCGGUGGUUCAAGUCCAUUUAGGCCCACCAGAGUUAUAGGUUUCGUAAGAACACAAAUUCUUUGAAAAUUAGGUAAAUAAUAGUUAUUUAUCCGGAACAUUAAAGG